UGGGGAAUUUUGGACAAUGGGCGAAAGCCUGAUCCAGCCAUGCCGCGUGAGCGAAGAAGGCCUUCGGGUUGUAAAGCUCUUUUAGUCGGAAAGAAAGAGUUGCAAUGAAUAAUUGUGAUUUAUGACGGUACCGACAGAAAAAGCACCGGCUAACUACGUGCCAGCAGCCGCGGUAAUACGUAGGGUGCGAGCGUUAAUCGGAAUUACUGGGCGUAAAGGGUGCGCAGGCGGUCUUGCAAGUCAGAUGUGAAAGCCCCGGGCUUAACCUGGGAAUUGCGUUUGAAACUACAAGGCUAGAGUGCAGCAGAGGGGAGUGGAAUUCCAUGUGUAGCAGUGAAAUGCGUAGAGAUGUGGAAGAACACCGAUGGCGAAGGCAGCUCCCUGGGUUGACACUGACGCUCAUGCACGAAAGCGUGGGGAGCAAACA
rnacentral:rRNA from 1 species